rnacentral:sRNA from 1 species
GUCGUGAGAUGUUGGGUUAAGUCCCGCAACGAGCGCAACCCCUACUGUGUGUUGUAUCACUCACACGGGACUGCCGAGAGAAACUCGGAGGAAGGUGGGGAUGACGUCAAGUCAGCAUGGCCCUUACGUCUUGGGCUACACCCACGCUACAAUGGCCGGUACAACGGGCUGCGAAACCGCGAGGUGGAGCAAAUCCCUUAAAGCCGGUCUCAGUUCGGAUUGUAGGCUGCAACUCGCCUACAUGAAGCCGGAGUUGCUAGUAACCGCCGGUCAGCAUACGGCGGUGAAUAUGUUCCCGGGCCUUGUACACACCGCCCGUCACGUCAUGAAAGCUGGCAACACCCGAAGUCGGUGGGCCAACCGCAAGGAGGCAGCCGUCGAAGGUGGGGUUGGUGAUUGGGGACGAAGUCGUAACAAGGUAGCCGUACCGGAAGGUGCGGCUGGAUCACCUCCUUUCUAGGGAGAUCCGAGUCUCGGCCAUCGGUGAGGUCGGGGCGUUGAAGGCUCUCAGGUUGAUCGCACGGUCGUUCGUGUCCCUCCGCCAGGUGGGGCGCGCCGGCAGCCGCAAGGCUGCGGGAGACCGACCGCGACCUGGCAAAAACACCGAAAACCCGUUCGAACAUCCGAUCCGCGAGUUCCUGCCACUCUUCAUGUGUUAAGGGUGCAGCCGCCGGCGGCGACCGAAGCGUCUCCGCGACGAGUCGGCAUUUGCCCCCGGCGGGCGUUUAGCUCAGCUGGUUAGAGCACUGCCCUGAUAAGGCAGAGGUCUCUGGUUCGAGUCCAGAAACGCCCACCAUCUCCGCACCCCACAUGGGGCGGGGGGACGUAGCUCAGCUGGAAGAGCAUCUCCUUUGCAAGGAGAGGGUCAGGAGUUCGAGUCUCCUCGUCUCCACCACACAGCCCAGGCGGGUGGCACCCGACCAGACGAAUUGAAGAGUCCACGUCGAGCCGUGGCACGAGCCCUCGUAACGCACUCGGGGGAGACCGCCCGUCGGUUCGGUCCGAGGGGCUCCGGCCCGGCCAUCGAGUCACUGAUCCGUGUCCUUCCAAACGAAGGCCACCGACCAGCGGAUCGCUGGAUCGGCGACACCACCGAGGCGUCGUCGGCGUAGCCCGUUUCACGACGGGCCUGCACCUUAACAACUGGAUACGUGUUUCGGCAGUAAAUCGAGAUCUUCGAUUUCGCCGAGUUGUACAAGGAACCAUCCCGAAAAUCCUGCCGCUCCGACGAGUGACAGGGUAAAUUCCCCAUUUGCCUCUGGCCGCUUUGGUCAGAUGCUGAAGGGGUCAAGCUACAAAGGGCACGAGGUGGAUGCCUUGGCGCCAAGAGCCGAUGAAGGACGUGGCAGGCUGCGAAAAGCUCCGGGGAGUCGCGAGCAGACGUUAUAUCCGGAGAUGU